UCAAGGUGUCUUCGGAUGCCGGCGUACGGCUCAGUAACACGUAGGUAACCUACCCUCAGGACUGAGAUAACCCCGGGAAACUGGGGCUAAUAUUAGAUAGAUAAAAGGUACUGGAAUGUUCUUUUAUCCAAAGCUUUUGCGCCUGAGGAUGGGCCUGCGUCCGAUUAGGUUGUUGGUGGGGUAAUGGCCCACCAAGCCUGCGAUCGGUACGGGCAGUGAGAGCUGAAGCCCGGAGUUGGGGACUGAGACAAGGCCCCAGGCCCUACGGGGCGCAGCAGGCGCGAAACCUCUGCAAUGCGGGAAACCGUGACAGGGGGAUCCCAAGUGCUCAUGCAUUGCAUGGGCUGUUCUUUGGUCUAAGUAACCAGAGGAGUAAGGGCUGGGCAAGACCGGUGCCAGCCGCCGCGGUAAUACCGGCAGCUCAAGUGAUAGCCGCGAUUAUUGGGCCUAAAGCGUUCGUAGCCGGAUAAGUAAGUCUUUGGUUAAAUCCUGCAACUCAACUGUGGGAAAUCUAGGGAUACUGCUUGUCUUGAGACCGGGAGAGGUUAGAGGUACUCCUAGGAUAGGGGUGAAAUCCUGUAAUCCUAGGGGGACCACCUGUGGCGAAGGCGUCUAACUGGAACGGGUCUGACGGUGAGGGACGAAACCUAGGGGAACGAGCCGGAUUAGAUACCCGGGUAGUCCUAGGCGUAAAUGAUGCGAGUUAAGUGUGGGGGCAUCUACGAGAUGGCCCUGUGCUGUAGGGUAGCCGUUAAACUCGCCGCCUGGGGAGUACGGUCGCAAGGCUGAAACUUAAAGGAAUUGGCGGGGGAGCACCACAAGAGGUGGAGGCUGCGGU
rnacentral:rRNA from 1 species